rnacentral:rRNA from 1 species
GACGGAGGAUGCAAGUGUUAUCCGGAAUCACUGGGCGUAAAGCGUCUGUAGGUGGUUUCAAAAGUCCACUGUUAAAGAUUGAAGCUUAACUUCAAAAAUGCCGUGGAAACUUUGAAACUUGAGUAUGAUAGGGGUAGAGGGAAUUUCCAGUGGAGCGGUGAAAUGCGUAGAUAUUGGAAAGACCACCAAUGGCGAAGGCAACUCUACUGGGCCAUUACUGACACUGAGAGACGAAAGCUAGGGGAGCAAAUGGG